rnacentral:lncRNA from 1 species
UAUGUGCAAUAACUUUAUUUUCAAAAUAAAUUAUAUGCAUAUCUUUAUUAAAAUUAUAAUUAUAAUUAUCCUGUAUUAGCAUAGAUAUAAAAAUUAGAUUUCUACUAGCUACACGUACAAAAUAACAGUCUUUUAAAAUUAAACUAAUUUCUAAUGGUAAUCGCAGAAGAUAGGUCCCGAUGACCACAGCAGCAACUCUUACUCCAU